ACGAGUUUGAUCCUGGCUCAGAAUCAACGCUGGCGGCGUGCCUCAGACAUGCAAGUCGAACGAUUAAGACUUCCUUCGGGAAGUGCAUAAAGUGGCGCACGGGUGAGUAACACGUAAGUAAUCUACCCUCGAGUGGGGAAUAACGUUCGGAAACGGACGCUAAUACCGCAUAACGCAGCGGCACCGCAAGGUGACAGUUGUUAAAGGAGCAAUCCGCUUGAGGAGGAGCUUGCGGCAGAUUAGCUAGUUGGUAAGGUAAUGGCUUACCAAGGCUACGAUCUGUAUCCGGUCUAAGAGGACGGUCGGACACACUGACACUGAAUAACGGGUCAGACUCCUACGGGAGGCAGCAGUCGGGAAUUUUGGGCAAUGGGCGAAAGCCUGACCCAGCAACGCCGCGUGAAGGAUGAAGUAUUUCGGUAUGUAAACUUCGAAAGAAUAGGAAGAAUAAAUGACGGUACUAUUUAUAAGCUCCGGCUAACUACGUG
rnacentral:rRNA from 1 species